AGUCGAACGAACUCUGGUAUUGAUUGGUGCUUGCAUCAUGAUUUACAUUUGAGUGAGUGGCGAACUGGUGAGUAACACGUGGGAAACCUGCCCAGAAGCGGGGGAUAACACCUGGAAACAGAUGCUAAUACCGCAUAACAACUUGGACCGCAUGGUCCGAGUUUGAAAGAUGGCUUCGGCUAUCACUUUUGGAUGGUCCCGCGGCGUAUUAGCUAGAUGGUGGGGUAACGGCUCACCAUGGCAAUGAUACGUAGCCGACCUGAGAGGGUAAUCGGCCACAUUGGGACUGAGACACGGCCCAAACUCCUACGGGAGGCAGCAGUAGGGAAUCUUCCACAAUGGACGAAAGUCUGAUGGAGCAACGCCGCGUGAGUGAAGAAGGGUUUCGGCUCGUAAAACUCUGUUGUUAAAGAAGAACAUAUCUGAGAGUAACUGUUCAGGUAUUGACGGUAUUUAACCAGAAAGCCACGGCUAACUACGUGCCAGCAGCCGCGGUAAUACGUAGGUGGCAAGCGUUGUCCGGAUUUAUUGGGCGUAAAGCGAGCGCAGGCGGUUUUUUAAGUCUGAUGUGAAAGCCUUCGGCUCAACCGAAGAAGUGCAUCGGAAACUGGGAAACUUGAGUGCAGAAGAGGACAGUGGAACUCCAUGUGUAGCGGUGAAAUGCGUAGAUAUAUGGAAGAACACCAGUGGCGAAGGCGGCUGUCUGGUCUGUAACUGACGCUGAGGCUCGAAAGUAUGGGUAGCAAACAGGAUUAGAUACCCUGGUAGUCCAUACCGUAAACGAUGAAUGCUAAGUGUUGGAGGGUUUCCGCCCUUCAGUGCUGCAGCUAACGCAUUAAGCAUUCCGCCUGGGGAGUACGGCCGCAAGGCUGAAACUCAAAGGAAUUGACGGGGGCCCGCACAAGCGGUGGAGCAUGUGGUUUAAUUCGAAGCUACGCGAAGAACCUUACCAGGUCUUGACAUACUAUGCAAAUCUAAGAGAUUAGACGUUCCCUUCGGGGACAUGGAUACAGGUGGUGCAUGGUUGUCGUCAGCUCGUGUCGUGGGAUGUUGGGUUAAGUCCCGCAACGAGCGCAACCCUUAUUAUC
rnacentral:rRNA from 1 species